UCGAGCGUGGUGUACGGUACACUCUGGCUUUCAUUUCUGAUUGAGAAGAUAAGUUUAGCCAGCAUCCGGGGUUCGACUCCCCGCGUUCGAG